AUUGAACGCUGGCGGCAGGCUUAACACAUGCAAGUCGAGCGGAGCGAGGGUGCUUGCACCUUAGCUUAGCGGCGGACGGGUGAGUAAUGCUUAGGAAUCUGCCUAUUAGUGGGGGACAACAUUCCGAAAGGAAUGCUAAUACCCCAUACGCCCUACGGGGGAAAGCAGGGGAUCUUCGGACCUUGCGCUAAUAGAUGAGCCUAAGUCGGAUUAGCUAGUUGGUGGGGUAAAGGCCUACCAAGGCGACGAUCUGUAGCGGGUCUGAGAGGAUGAUCCGCCACGCUGGGACUGAGACACGGCCCAGACUCCUACGGGAGGCAGCAGUGGGGAAUAUUGGACAAUGGGCGGAAGCCUGAUCCAGCCAUGCCGCGUGUGUGAAGAAGGCCUUCGGGUUGUAAAGCACUUUUGGUAAUGAGGAAGCUAUUGGUUUAGCCAGUAGUUGACGUUAGUUACAGAAUAAGCACCGGCAAACUCCGUGCCAGCAGCCGCAGUAAUAC
rnacentral:rRNA from 1 species